rnacentral:rRNA from 1 species
GUUAGGAAUAUUGGACAAUGGGCGCAAGCCUGAUCCAGCCAUGCCGCGUGAGUGAUGAAGGCCUUCGGGUUGUAAAGCUCUUUAGCCGAUGAUUAUAAUGACUGUAGUCGGAAAAUAAGCCCCGGCUAACUUCGUGCCAGCAGCCGCGGUAAUACGAAGGGGGCGAGCGUUAUUCGGAAUCACUGGGCGUAAAGCGUGCGUAGGCGGCUUUGCAAGUUGGGAGUGAAAGCCCAGGGCUCAACCCUGGAAUUGCUCUCCAAACUGCAAGGCUCGAAUUCGGGAGAGGAUAGCGGAAUUGUCAGUGUAGCAGUGAAAUGCGUAGAUAUUGACAGGAACACCAGUGGCGUAAGCGGCUAUCUGGACCGAUAUUGACGCUGAGGCACGAAAGCGUGGGGAUCAAACAGGAUUAGAAACCCGUGUAGUCC